AAUCCAUGCAUCAAACAUUUCUAAAUUAAUUCUUUAAAUCACUCCCAAGCUUCAUAUAGUGUUUCAUCCUCUAAUUUCUAAAAGGAUGUGAUGUACUUUCUAAGCUU
rfam:Gossypium raimondii Chr06_contig_397, whole genome shotgun sequence.